rnacentral:rRNA from 1 species
AACGUAGGAGACAAACGUUAUCCGGAGUUACUGGGCGUAAAGGGCGUGUAGGUGGUUUCGUAAGUCUGGCGUAAAAUAUCUCGGCUUAACCGAGGCAGGUCGUCGGAUACUGCGGAACUGGAGGACGGUAGAGGCGUGUGGAAUUCCGGGUGUAGUGGUGAAAUGCGUAGAGAUCCGGAGGAACACCAGUGGCGAAGGCGACACGCUGGGCCGUACCUGACACUGAUGCGCGACAGCAUGGGGAGCAACAGG